UUCGUGGAGACGACCCGAGCGUAC
rnacentral:piRNA from 1 species